UACGUAGGGUGCAAGCGUUAAUCGGAAUUACUGGGCGUAAAGCGUGCGCAGGCGGUUAGGUAAGACAGAUGUGAAAUUCCCGGGCUCAACCUGGGAACUGCAUUUGUGACUGCCUGACUAGAGUGCGGCAGAGGGGAGUGGAAUUCCGCGUGUAGCAGUGAAAUGCGUAGAUAUGCGGAGGAACACCGAUGGCGAAGGCAACUCCCUGGGCCUGCACUGACGCUCAUGCACGAAAGCGUGGGGAGCAAACAGGAUUAGAUACCCUGGUAGUCCACGCCCUAAACGAUGUCGACUAGUUGUUGGACGGGUUACUGUUCAGUAACGAAGCUAACGCGUGAAGUCGACCGCCUGGGGAGUACGGCCGCAAGGUUAAA
rnacentral:rRNA from 1 species